CUCUCUUUCUCUUUCUCCUCCGCCUCUCUUCUACCAAAAAUAGAACCCUAACAACUGCCGCCACCUUCACGACUCAGUGACCACCACCAAUGAAUCAAUCUCUCUCACUCGCUCUAUACCAUAGAUUACUUAAUUGCUUAGCGAUGGCAAAUUAAGAAUGAUUUGGGCGUCGUUAAGACUUAAAGCACAAAGAUUAAGCCGGAUCUAGGAUUUCAACAUCUAUUUUCAUAGUUCUAAAUAUGGGUUUCCAUAUCAGCCUUUGUCGACAUCAAGGAAUUGGGAUUUUCUGAUGUUCUACGAGUCAAUUAAGGAGUCUUUCUGCUACUUAACCUUUCUCACUCCCUGUAUAGAAGAUGAUUGAUGAAACACAUACAGAUGGAAGACCUAACCAAUGCUGACUGGUGAUUCCCUGUAUUUCCCUGUAUUACUAUCAUGUGCAGGACAUUACUUUUGUCUAUCUUCCUGGAUGUUGUAACUGUAUUUGCCUAUGGAACUCUAUUCAAGUGCAUUCCUGUGAAACAUAUGGUUGCAGGAAAUUAUGGAGUUGCUUUAGCAGUUUUAGAACUUAAAGAGCUAAAAAGGAAGGUUUGGUAGCCGAGGAUGCUCGAGGGCUUGCUUGGAUGGAUGAAAAUAUAGAAAAGAUGGAAAAGUAAACCCUUUAGCAGUUGAGAAAAAUGUGAGUAUGCUUGGCCUUAUACGCAAGUGUUGCAACCAUAGUCAUGGCAGCAAGCAUGAACUCGGUGAAUAGUGCACCAAGGAAUGACAAUACGGACGAGACUCUCCUGCAAAAGCAUACUGAACUAGUUACCAAUGUGUUCGGGUUUGUUAAUUAUGAGUUCAUGUUAAUGAAUUUAAUCCUUAAUUCCAUAUGUAGAUUUCUGUCUUAACUUUACGAAAUUAAAACUGCAAUGGAAGAGAGAUCAUUAAUGCAAAUUCAGGAUACAUGACAAGUAUAUACAUUAUGCAUUAUAGAAACAUAAAAUGUACAGUGCUUUAUAUGUCUAGAGGAAACGUAUAAAAUUGCCAAGCGUACCAUCUGGCCAACCCAAACUACAACUAGAUGAAAUGGAGCAGGAUAUGGUAUUAUUAUAACAGUAGCAGAAUGAAUAACAGACGUCGUUGAGUAGAUGAAACAUCAACUAUCACUUGAGUAUUUUGGUAAGAAAGGUGAAGAGCAUCGUUACAUUCUAGGUAUAUAAAUCCUACCAAUAAUCUGAAGAAUAUUGUUAGAUGCCAUGAAACUUUUUGAGGCAAUUUCAACUCUCCCAUCUUCAUAUAUACUUCAGUUCAUUUUAAAUUUGGCCCUAGAACCGAAAUGGUUCCAUUGCUCGCGAAAUUUAAUGAAUUUUCCUUGUUCAUUUUCCUUUUCAUAAAGCUUGGUGAGCUUGGAAGGCUGUUAGUUGCGAUUAUAUUUCAAAUGAUAAAGACUUGAUGUUUUUUUGGAACAUCCAUUAAAGAUACAUAUAGUACAGAUUAUAUUUCAAAUGAUAGAGACAUGAUGAUUUUUGGAACAUCCUUCAAAGAUACAUAUAGUACGGUACCUUUUUCUUUCUUUCUUUGGGACAUCCUUUCAACAUAAAUGGAAGAUUGAAUGUUUAUAGUGGACUGUAUUUAUUAUCACAUUGACUGCUUCUUAUUUAGGGGAUUCACUGUCUUGUACGAGCACUACAAUAGUCGGCCUUUCAUUACUGUUACGGAUGCAGUGGAUUCUACAGUUUAACUGUUCGAAGCAUUGAUCAGUUACUAAAGAAGAGUGCUUUCUCUGACCAAAAGAUUCAUGAUAUAUUCACUCUUUCGAAGAUGUUUGCAAUUGUUCAACACUCUUUGUCUGCAAGUUUUAGCUUAUUAUCUUAAUAUUUGGUAAUUGUGAUGCCUGAUGCUUCUAUUGGUACUUGGUAGUGAAAUGGCCCCUGCAGACUCUCUUUGCUUUCUGUCCCUUUCCUCCAUAUGAAAAUACGUUCUCUUUGCUUUCUGUCCUUUUCCUCCAUAUGAAAAUUUGUUCUUACUAUACUUUAUGUUUUUAAGUUAAUGUGAGAAAUUUGCACCUCAUGUGCGUUAGUAAUGCAACUAUAGCAGCCGUUUGCCUUAUCUCCUACACCAAUACUUGCUCAGUUCAACUUAUUUUCAAUAGUAUUCUUAUUGUUCCUUUUCUUUUGUCUCUGUGCAGAUGAUUUUUGAAGGGGUUUAUGCCUUGCACCCAGAUAUUGGUAAAUCACCCGACUUCUGGAUAGCAGCAGCAAUACCUGCCAAUAACAAUUUAGUUCUAUAUGUUGAAAGUCUUAAUUGCAUCAGAAAUCCAGGUCUUGUUGGUGUUUGGGAGAAUAUAUUGCAAAUGAAUGGGUAACUUUGGCCGGUCUCCUGGAGUUUAUGAAUGAAAACUUGACUAACUACUUUUUGUAGAGUGGAAACAUAUCUUUCUUUUAUUUAGAGGAUCAAACACUUUUUUGUGCUGUGAAAGCUUCUUGAGUCGCUACUUUCUCAUAUGAGAUCUGUAAUUUGUGGAAUUUUGCACAACUAUUUUUAUGUAACUGACUGUGCUCCUUGUAUAUAAUAUCAUGAUUUACUAAUAUAUAAUUAUAUAUUUCCAGUA